AUACGUAGGGGGCGAGCGUUGUCCGGAAUGAUUGGGCGUAAAGGGCGCGUAGGCGGCGCGGUAAGUCUGGAGUGAAAGUCCUGCUUUCAAGGUGGGAAUUGCUUUGGAUACUGCCGCGCUUGAGUGCAGGAGAGGUUAUCGGAAUUCCCGGUGUAGCGGUGAAAUGCGUAGAGAUCGGGAGGAACACCAGUGGCGAAGGCGGGUAACUGGACUGCAACUGACGCUGAGGCGCGAAAGUGUGGGGAGCAAACAGGAUUAGAUACCCUGGUAGUCCACAUUGUAAACGAUGAAUACUAGGUGUGGGGGGACUGACCCCUUCCGUGCCGGAGUAAACACAAUAAGUAUUCCACCUGGGGAGUACGACCGCAAGGUUGAAACUCAAAUGAAUUGACGGGG
rnacentral:rRNA from 1 species